rnacentral:lncRNA from 13 species
CUUAUCCGUAUUUUUUGAAACUGCAGGUCUACUACACCUGUUGUAUUCGGCUCUUGUGACUAAUACAAUUUGAUUUGAAUUAUACAUUUUUAAAAGUACAUAUGAACAUUGUGCAGAACACACAUUUCAUUGUUUCACAGACAUUAGGUUGAUAAAAGGGAAAGUUAUUGCAAUCAACAUCCUCUUUCUCAGGUUGCAAGUUCAACAUGGACAGGUAAAACAUUUAAAACAACACAUUUCACUGCACCUAUCCUGUGUAUGUGACAAUAAAACAUUUUUCAAGAGGCAAAACAAGAAUUCUUAUUUAUUUUUAAAUNNNNNNNNNNGUAUUGGGUUGCCUUCUCUUCCCCUCCUUCCCCCAGCUGUUCCUUGUCUUCUCUAACUACCUCGUUCACCCUUUUCCCACCUGUUCCCUUUUUCCCUCUGAUUGGGUCUCUAUUUCUCUCUCUGUUCCUGCUUCUGUCUUUGUCAGAUUCUCGUUUGAGUUUCUCAUGCCAGAACCAAACUAUCGUCUUGUUUGCUUCAACCUUGUCCUGUCCUGUCGGAAUCUGCCUGUUCAUCUGAGUCUACGUGUGAUCAGUAUCUACACCCUGCUCGCAUCAUUUCACAUUCAUGAGAGUGGCACGCCCCGGGACUCACUCCCCCUACCAUCUGUUGGAUAAAAGCAGGUUGAAGAUGAGGACAGUACAGCUUGGACAAACUUGAAGGAAAGCAGAAGACUUCUAUCUCCCACGCAAAACUUCACAGUAGAGCAGAACAGAGUUUUUUUUUUCUAACAAAAACAACAACAAACAAAACAUGAUUUUGGCUGGAUUUUUCGCACAUUCUUGGUUACUUGCACUACUGACUCUUGAUUGUGCCAAACUUGNNNNNNNNNNGCUUUGUCACUGUGGUGGUUCCUAUAAAGGCUAAAUGUACCUUUCUAAAAGCAUGAUUUGUACCUGUGGCCUAUAUGUAAGAAAGGUACUAUCUGAGGUACACACUGGGGCACAAUUAUGUACCUAUAACUAAAGGUACAAAGGAUGUAACCUUACAGUGCACCACCCCAGUGACAAGCAUUUGUACCUCUUUAGGAACAAAUCUUAAAGAGUGUAGUACUUAAAGUCCAACAACUAUGAAUGAUAGGCUAACUGGCUAAAUAUGGCAAAAGGCCUACAUGUCAAGCCCAAAGAAGUGGAUAUAUGACUCGAUGGAUUNNNNNNNNNNCCCGCUCCAGAGUACAGGCCUCAGUGUAACGCUCAUUCCUUCGACGAUAAACGCAAAUCCGACCAUCACCCCUGGUGAGACAAAACCGUGACUCGUCAGUGAAGAGCAAUUUUUGCCAGUCCUGUCUGGUCCAGCGACGGUGAGUUUGUGCCCAUAGGCGAAGUUGUUGCCGGUGAUGUCUGGUGAGGACCUGCCUUACAACAGGACUACAAGCCCUAAGUCCAGCCUCUCUCAGCCUAUUGCGGACAGUCUGAGCACUGAUAGNNNNNNNNNNGAGCAGGGACCCUGGCCAUCUUUCUUUUGGUGUUUUUCAGAGUUAGUAGAAAGUCCUCUUUAGUGUCCUACGUUUUCAUAACUGUGACCUUAAUUGCCUAUCGUCUGUAAGCUGUUAGUGUCUUAACGACCGUUCCACAGGUGCAUGUUCAUUAAUUGUUUAUGGUUCAUUGAACAAGCAUGGGAAACAGUGUUUAAACUCUUUACAAUUAAAAUCUGUGAAGAUAUUUGGAUUUUUACUAAUUACCUUUGAAAGACAAGGACAUUUGCAAGGGCAUUUCUUUUAUUGCCGAGU